CAAGCGGUGGAGCAUGUGGUUUAAUUCGACGCAACGCGAAGAACCUUACCUGGACUCGAAAUGCCGUUGUAAGCUCCAGAGAUGGAGUCCUCCCGCAAGGGACAGCGGUAUAGGUGCUGCAUGGCUGUCGUCAGCUCGUGUCGUGAGAUGUUGGGUUAAGUCCCGCAACGAGCGCAACCCUCAUCCUUAGUUGCUCGCCCGCAAGGGAAGCACCCUAAGGGAACCGCCUCGGAUAACGGGGAGGAAGGUGGGGAUGACGUCAAGUCCUCAUGGCCUUUAUGCCCAGGGCUACACACGUGCUACAAUGGCCGGUACAAAGCGUCGCCAACCCGCAAGGGGGAGCCAAUCGCAAAAAACCGGUCUCAGUUCGGAUUGCAGGCUGCAACUCGCCUGCAUGAAGCUGGAAUCGCUAGUAAUCGCGUAUCAGAACGACGCGGUGAAUACGUUCCCGGGCCUUGUACACACC
rnacentral:rRNA from 1 species